rnacentral:rRNA from 1 species
GUGAGGAAUUUUCAGCAAUGGGCGAAAGCCUGACGGAGCAAUGCCGCGUGAAGGAUGAAGGCCUAUGGGUUGUAAACUUCUUUUCUUAGAGAAGAAUAUUGACGGUAUCUGAGGAAUAAGCAUCGGCUAACUCUGUGCCAGCAGCCGCGGUAAGACAGAGGAUGCAAGCGUUAUCCGGAAUGAUUGGGCGUAAAGCGUCUGUAGGUGGCUUCAAAAGUCUCCUGUCAAAGAUCAGGGCUUAACCCUGGGGCGGCAGGGGAAACUCUGAGGCUAGAGUUUGGUAGGGGCAGAGGGAAUUCCCGGUGGAGCGGUGAAAUGCGUAGAGAUCGGGAGGAACACCAAAGGCGAAAGCACUCUGCUGGGCCACAACUGACACUGAGAGACGAAAGCGAGGGGAGCAAAAGGGAUUAGAAACCCCUGUAGUCC